rnacentral:rRNA from 1 species
GACGAACGCUGGCGGCGUGCUUAACACAUGCAAGUCGAACGGAAAGGCCCUGCUUUUGUGGGGUGCUCGAGUGGCGAACGGGUGAGUAACACGUGAGUAACCUGCCCUUGACUUUGGGAUAACUUCAGGAAACUGGGGCUAAUACCGGAUAGGAGCUCCUGCUGCAUGGUGGGGGUUGGAAAGUUUCGGCGGUUGGGGAUGGACUCGCGGCUUAUCAGCUUGUUGGUGGGGUAGUGGCUUACCAAGGCUUUGACGGGUAGCCGGCCUGAGAGGGUGACCGGCCAAAUUGGGACUGGGGUGAGGCCCAGAGUCCUACGGGGGGGAGGAGUGGGGAAUAUUGCACAAUGGGCGGAAGCCUGAUGCAGCAACGCCGCGUGCGGGAUGACGGCCUUCGGGUUGUAAACCGCUUUCGCCUGUGACGAAGCGUGAGUGACGGUAAUGGGUAAAGAAGCACCGGCUAACUACGUG